AUACGGAGGAUCCGAGCGCUAUCCGGAUUUAUUGGGUUUAAAGGGUGCGCAGGCGGCCAUUUAAGUCAGCGGUUAAAUCGUGGGGCUCAACCCCAUUCUGCCGUUGAUACUGGGUGGCUUGAUUGCGGUCGAGGUUGGCGGAAUUCGUUGUGUAGCGGUGAAAUGCAUAGAUAUGACGAAGAACACCGAUUGCGUAGGCAGCUGACCAGACCGCAAAUGACGCUCAUGCACGAAAGUGCGGGGAUCGAACAGGAUUAGAUACCCUGGUAGUCCGCACAGUAAACGAUGAAUACUUGUUUUCGGCGAUAUAAUGUCGGAGGCAAAGCGAAAGCGAUAAGUAUUCCACCUGGGGAGUACGCCGGCAACGGUGAAACUCAAAUGAAUUGGCGGGG
rnacentral:rRNA from 1 species